GGCGGGCGCCCACGGGGCUCUGGGAGAUGGAGUCUGAGGCGGGCGCCCACGGGGCUCUGGGAGAUGGAGUCUGAGGCGGGCGCCCACGGGGCUCUGGGAGAUGGAGUCUGAGGCGGGCGCCCACGGGGCUCUGGGAGGUGGAGUCUGAGGCGGGCACCCACGGGGCUCUAGGAGAUGCAGUCUGAGAUUUUUUUUGAGAGGCAGUGAGACUGACUGACAGAACUCUCAUGCACUGGUUCAUGCACCAAACGCCUGCAACAGACAGGCUUCGGCCAGGCCAAAGCCAGGAGCUGGAAGUUCAAUCCAGGUCUCCCACACCCAAGUAUUGGGUCCCUUCUGAGAGUCUGCAUUAGCUGGAAGCUGGAAUUAGGAGCAGAGACAAGACUUCAACCCAGGCGCUCUGGUAUGCAAUGCAGGUGUCCCAAGAGGCAGCGUAGCCACUGAACCAAAUGCCUACGCUGACUCAGUUUUGAUACUGUCAACUGAUAAACAUAAUCUUCCAAAGCAA